rnacentral:rRNA from 1 species
CCUACGGGCGGCAGCAGUUGGGAAUCUUGCACAAUGGGGGAAACCCUGAUGCAGCGACGCCGCGUGGAGGAAGAAGGGUCUAGGCUCGUAAACUCCUUUUUCAGGGAAAGACUUAGGACGGUACCCUUAGAAUAAGCUCCGGCUAACUACGUGCCAGCAGCCGCGGUACGACGUAGGGAGCGAGCGUUGUCCGUAUUUACUGGGCGUAAAGAGCACGUAGGCGGUCUGUUAAGUGAGAAGUGAAAUCUCCAGCGCUCGACGCGGAAACGGCUUUUCAUACUGGCAGACGUGAGGGAUGCAGAGGCAAGUAGAAUUCCUGGUGUACCGGUGACAUGGGUUGAUAUCAUGAGGAAUACCAAUGGCGAAGGCAGCUUGCUGGGCAUCAUCUGACGCUGAGGUGCGAAAGCGUGGGUAGCAAACAGGAUUAGAUACCCUUGUAGUC